ensembl:piRNA 21ur-13446 ncRNA
UAUUUUUUUAUUAGAAAAGAG